GAGAAAUUUGUGAAUUCUUCCCU
rnacentral:snRNA from 1 species